UUGUUUAUGAUUUAAGGUCUAGCCUGCCCAAUGAGAUUUUGAAUGGCCGCGGUAUUUUAACCGUGCAAAGGUAGCAUAAUCAUUAGUUUUUUAAUUAAAAGCUGGUAUGAAUGGUUGAAUGAAAAAAUAACUGUCUCUAUUUAAAUUUUUUAGAAUUUUAUUUUUAAGUAAAAAAGCUUAAAUUAUAUUAGAAGACGAGAAGACCCUGUAGAGUUUAAUUAAUUAUUAUAAUAGGAUUUUUAGUAUUCUUAUUUUUAUUAUUUAUAAUUAAUUUAGUUGGGGUGAUUUAAAAAUUUAAUAAACUUUUUUUAUAUUUAUACAUUAAUUUAUGAUUACUUGAUCCUUAUUUUAAGAUUAAAAGAUAAAAUUACCUUAGGGAUAACAGCGUAAUUUUUUUAGAGAGUUCUAAUCGAAAAAAAAGAUUGCGACCUCGAUGUUGGAUUAAAAUAAAAAUUUGGUGUAGAAGCUAAAGUAUUUAGGUCUGUUCGACCUUUAAAAUUUUACAUGAUCUGAGUUUAAACCGGUGUAAGCCAGGUUGGUUUCUAUCUCUAUUUUAAAUAAAUAUUUUAGUACGAAAGGACCAAAUAUUAGGUUUAAAAUUUUAUAUUUGAAUAUAAUU
rnacentral:rRNA from 1 species